rnacentral:rRNA from 1 species
UACGAAGGGGGCUAGCGUUGUUCGGAAUUACUGGGCGUAAAGCGCACGUAGGCGGACAUUUAAGUCAGGGGUGAAAUCCCAGAGCUCAACUCUGGAACUGCCUUUGAUACUGGGUGUCUUGAGUAUGGAAGAGGUGAGUGGAAUUCCGAGUGUAGAGGUGAAAUUCGUAGAUAUUCGGAAGAACACCAGUGGCGAAGGCGGCUCACUGGACCGGCAUUGACGCUGAGGUGCGAAAGCGUGGGGAGCAAACAGG